rnacentral:rRNA from 1 species
AUUGAACGCUGGCGGCAUGCCUUACACAUGCAGGUCGAACGGCAGCACGGGAGCAAUCCUGGUGGCGAGUGGCGAACGGGUGAGUAAAGUAUCGGAACGUGCCCAGUCGUGGGGGAUAACGUAGCGAAAGUUACGCUAAUACCGCAUACGAUCUAUGGAUGAAAGCGGGGGAUCGCAAGACCUCGCGCGAUUGGAGCGGCCGAUAUCAGAUUAGGUAGUUGGUGGGAUAAAGGCCCACCAAGCCAACGAUCUGUAGCUGGUCUGAGAGGACGACCAGCCACACUGGAACUGAGACACGGUCCAGACUCCUACGGGAGGCAGCAGUGGGGAAUUUUGGACAAUGGGCGAAAGCCUGAUCCAGCCAUUCCGCGUGCAGGAUGAAGGCCCUCGGGUUGUAAACUGCUUUUGUACAGAACGAAAAGGUUUCUACUAAUACUAGGAGCUCAUGACGGUACUGUAAGAAUAAGCACCGGCUAACUACGUGCCAGCCGCCGCCGUAA